GUAUAUCUCAUUGUAACUAAAUUUUGUUAACCACCAGAAGUGGUAUAUGCCAAUAAUCACCAGAAGUGAUAAUUUAGGCUUUCUAUGGUUACAAUUGAAGAUAAGCUAGAAAAAAUUUCUCUAUAUUAAAUGCACGCCUCAAUUUGCUCCUGAAGUAGUAAAUAUUUUAAAAGAGGUUGAAGUAUCACAAUUUGAUGUGAUUAAUAUACGUUCAGAUAAUUAUGUUCGAUUUCCUGAAGGAAGAGAACUUUUGAUUAUAUUAAUCCAU
rnacentral:lncRNA from 1 species